UUUAUGUAGAAAAGGUAUAAAUAUCACAUGACUUUUGUUUUCUGAUAUUCGGCGGAUGGUGAAUUAUAAGGCACCAUUAUCUAAGACUUUUAUUUGUCAAAUAUGAAUCAAUACCACAUGUGAACUAUUAAUAUUAGUCUCAUCAUGACAUGGGUUGAUAAGGUCUAAAAAAUAUUUAAGCAUACUAUGCCUUGAAAAGUUGUAUUUUUAUGUUUUUCUCUGAAUCUUGGUUUGUCACUAACAUUUAGUAUGUUCUCGACUCUUGUUUUUGCAGUGCCAAUAACUGUAUAUUUAUUCACGUUGCCUCUCCCCUAUAUUGGGGUUGCAUCCUCCCUUCCACCUGGCUUUGUAGCAGGUGCCAUUGUCCUUCUUGUGGGUUUGCUUUUUUAUACCUGGAGACCGUCAGAGAAUUCCAAACAUGAAUCCUCUCUCGUGAGUUAGCUAUAAGCCGGAUAAUGUUUUUUUGACAUUCUUAUCGGCAUCAAUGCAUUGAGACACUGGUGGCAGGCAAUUUCGGAGUUGCUAGUCGGUUAGAGAAAUUUCAACAUAAAUAAGGACAAAAAGGUCCCAUUGGCAUUCAAGAAUAUUUCUGUUCAUGCCUCCUGAACUGUCAUGCCGUUUGAUCUUGCCUUUGCUCCAUUUCAAUCUGAUGCUCACUAGUUAGGAGGAAAUAAGUCCUUAAGUCGGGUUCUUAAGCCGCUGUUAUCAACUGGAUUCAUGUCAUUGUACUCGUACUCAGAAAAAAAACUAGAUAAAAACACACAGUUUGUAUGACACAGAAUGAGCAGAAUCCAGUAGGUUCUUAUGCUCCCUGCUUAUGUACUAGAAUAAUAGGUACUUGAUGUACAAGAACCCUGUUGGGUCAUGAUUUGUGAUUUUGAUUGCAAAAUAAAUUUCGAUCAUUAAGUUAGAUUGAUCAGAGGAAAAUAGGCUUUCUCUAUUGUAAAAUAAUAUCUUCGGAAUCCAAAUAAUUUUUUUACAUUAUCACUUGUGCUAACGAAAUUUUUUGUGCAUUGCUUUUCUCAACAAUCAAUAAUAAUGCAGGACACAAGCAUUGGAG
rnacentral:lncRNA from 1 species